UGCUGCUCUGUGUUUGUUAUUGAAGAAAAGCCUCUUAACAGCAAUCUCUCUUCCAUCUGGUAAAACUCCCUGUACAAAUGAUGAAACUUAGGCAUAAACCCGAAAUAAUACAAAUGGUGUUUGAUUAGAUGUUGUAUGCAUUUGUGGUUGAAGAGAGAAUUGUGCUUUAGUCAUUUACCUUGUAGACGGUUCCAAAUCCACCUUGCCCCAGCUUAUUGGCUUCAUCAAAUGAACCAGUGGCUUUCUCAAGAGUGGAGUAUUUGAAGUUCAAGCUGCUAUCAUGAAGAGUUUUCACCAAUUUCUCCGCAUCAUUUGAGCCUUAAAAGAGUUGCAAGAGAUUUCAAGCACAAUCAACUUACAGUCAGAGUGAGUGCAUAUUUUGUAUCGAGUUACAUCACUUCUGUUGCUAUUCUAAACAUUAUCACAUGACCAACUGCUCUACAGUCAAUGUAAAAUGUUUAGUAGCGAAAAAUUACAUGUAAAUUUGGUUCUCCUAUUUCAUUAAUUGGAAGCAAUAACCAGUGGCUUUCAAAACUGGCGCAUGCCAUAUGAUGACAUAUGAAGUUGACCUACCUUUUCGCUUCUUCUGUAUUCUUUUGUUCUUCCAGAAAUAGGCUCCAAUGAUUGCUCCCACGGCCAAAACAAUUGCAGAACUCACUGCAGCAACAACAAUGACUACAACUGUCCCUGCAAAUAUUGUCAUUAAGAAAUCAAGAUCACCAUGAGUAGGAACAUCACCCGCUUUUGAUUCUAAA
rnacentral:lncRNA from 1 species